GGAGGUGUUAGCUUAAUGGUAAAGCACAUGCAUAUGUACCAUGCAUAAAGCUCUGGUUUCCAUCUCCAGCACCACCC
rnacentral:tRNA from 1 species